ACAGAAUGAGUUUAUCAGAGGUCAUCACCCAUCCCAUCAGCACGCAGAGCAGUGUGUUAUCCAACCACAAAUUUGAACCUGCAAUCGAUGAAGCAGAUGCAGCAGCUCUCCUAGGACACAUCGAAAAGAGACCUUCUUCACAGAGCGCAAGAUCCAGUUUACCUGACCUGACAGGAUGGCACUGGCUUGGCUGGGACCCGAGCAACGACGAAGACACCGACACCAAUUCAGAAAUCAUCAGAUCUCGCGAUAGAAUGCCUCGAUGGUUCAUGCGUC